UACGUAGGGUGCGAGCGUUGUCCGGAAUUAUUGGGCGUAAAGAGCUCGUAGGCGGUCUGUCGCGUCGGUCGUGAAAACUUGGGGCUUAACCCUGAGCUUGCGGUCGAUACGGGCAUGACUGGAGUUCGGCAGGGGAGACUGGAAUUCCUGGUGUAGCGGUGAAAUGCGCAGAUAUCAGGAGGAACACCGGUGGCGAAGGCGGCGACCUGGGUCGAGACUGACGCUGAGGCGCGAAAGCGUGGGGAGCAAACAGG
rnacentral:rRNA from 1 species